rnacentral:rRNA from 1 species
AUUGAACGCUGGCGGCAGGCCUAACACAUGCAAGUCGAGCGGGGUUUUCGGACCUAGCGGCGGACGGGUGAGUAAUGCGUUGGAAGCUACCCGAUAGAGGGGGAUACCAGUUGGAAACGACUGUUAAUACCGCAUAAUGUCUACGGACCAAAGUGUGGGACCUUCGGGCCACAUGCUAUCGGAUGCGCCUACGUGGGAUUAGCUAGUUGGUGGGGUAAUGGCUCACGAAGGCGACGAUCCCUAGCUGGUUUGAGAGGAUGAUCAGCCACACUGGAACUGAGACACGGUCCAGACUCCUCCGGGAGGCAGCAGUGGGGAAUAUUGGACAAUGGGCGCAAGCCUGAUCCAGCCAUGCCGCGUGUGUGAAGAAGGCCUUCGGGUUGUAAAGCACUUUCAGUAGGGAGGAAGGGUGUUGUGUUAAUAGCACAGCAUUUUGACGUUACCUACAGAAGAAGCACCGGCUAACUCUGUGCCAGCCGCCGCCGUAAUAC